ACCCCCACAAAGUGGGGAGCCUGGAGCUCUGCAUAGCGGCCCCUCACAGGACCAGGUAACAGUCAUCAAGGGCGUCCAGCCAUGUCCUGUGCCUGAGAAUUUCACUCCUGCAUGUGUCUGCCUCACCACACCGGCUUCCAGACGGGUGGUUUCCUGGCACCCGGAAAGCCCCUGACUUCCAGCCAGCCGGUGUCCCCACCCGGGAGCUCCCCACCGCAUGGACACUGACAGAGCCCGGUCCACACGUGUGUGCAUCUUGCUGUGCACUGGGCUGGAACACCGUGGACAGAGCAGUAACCCGUCCUUCCAGGGAGGAGGUGCCCAGUGACACGUCGCCCUCCAGAGCAGUGGAGCCGAGUCUUCUGGCGUCUACUCAGGAGCCUGCUUCCUCUCUUCUCUUCAGCCCCGAGUACAUGGUGCCCUAGGCAGUGCACGGUCCACCCUCAGAGAGGGGGACAUGCCCUGGGGUCCAGAGCAGCUGUGUCCGAGGCCUGCUUGUCAGUGGGAGAGGCAGGCAUCUGUGCUGGGCCCGUUCCUUGCCUUUGUUUACCCCCCGGGUCUUUCAUGCCCCCAGUUUUCUUCCCAGGGGACAACAGGCAAUGUCUGGAGACACUGCUGGUGGCCAUGACCUGGGAGAGAUCCAUGGACAUCUGGCAAGUGAAGGCCAGAGAUGCUGACAAUGCACAGAGAUGUCUGCAGAGCACAGAACAGGACCCGGCAAAGAAUUUUGGUGCAAGACAUGCACAGAUGCCAGGAGCCGACGUGCUGUGCCUGGAUGCUCCGGGCCUGCACCAAGGGGCUCAGACUCGACGAGGACCAGAGCUGCCAGGGAGCCAGGAGCAACGCCUCCUCCCCUGUCCCCCGGAGAAGGGUGCAGGGGCCCCGGUGUGGUGCUGAGGAAGGGAAAAACCGAACUCCAUGGAAUUCCGCCAAUUGGGAUCCGUGCCCACCGGCGUCUGUGGCAAUGGAUUAAGACUCCACGUCUGUGGUGCAGACCUGAACCUUGCAGCAAACCGCUGGUUCUGGAUGUUCCUGCACAGUUGAACAGGAAGGAGCACCCGCUCCCGUCGCCUCUUUCCUGGUCCUUCCCCGGAGGAAACACACCGAGGAGCACGGAGACAGCUCGCCGCGGAGGGGCCCUUCCCUGGGGCCGGCAGAGCUGUGGAAAUGUCUUCAGCCACAUUUUCUGGGGAGGCUGAGUCUGUGCCGGGCCUCUUGCUGAGGAUCUCAAGUCCGAAGCCACACGGGGUCAGCUGGGGACGGCGGCCUCCGCGAAUCCCUGAGAGCCCCCAGAUCUCAGGUUCAGACACCUCCGCCCCAUGCCACCCCACGCCGCCCUGCAUCGCCCGUACCAUUGACAGCAGGAGGACACUGGGACAGAACUGGGGAGGAGGAACCUCAGGAUUUUCUCUCUGCUCCAUCCACACGAGGCCCGAGAACAACCUGACAAGAGUUGACAAGCAGAAAGGCAGAUGGGAAAUAACACCCUGUCCCUGCUGUGUGAUAUUCAGAACAGAGUUCGACUGCACCUGUAAGGAGCCCCGAGAUUUUAUUUGCCAACAACCUGCGCCCUCGUCGCUGUGCGGCAGGUGAGUUUGCAGACACAGCACAAGGCCAAGUCACCUAAAUCCUGUUUGCUUUUAAAUGCAGACCACUGAAAGAUCAGCCUUUCCCCUGUGCUCCCGUUCAUUCAUUCAUCCAGUCUGGGGCAACUCCUACUGGAGCCAAGUGGGUCUAAGCUCACCCCUCAGGGAACACAGGAAAUGGAACCGGAAGGGGAAGCCUGAGGGAUCCAGAGAGGCCCCAGACCUCCUUCCCGCCACAGCUGCUGCUUCUUUCACAUCCUGAGACGCACCGGGGGCUUCCCCGGGCCCCCCACGAUUGCUGUCACUGCUUCAAAUGCUUCUUUCCGUUUUCAACAAGGAAGGCUGAGAUGUUUGGCAGAGGUGCCGGGGAUCAAACCUAGGACCUCACGUGUGCACUGUACCGAGGGCCAUCCUUUCCCACAGAGGCCGCCCCUAGCCUCUGCCCUAGUAGGCAUCCAGUAAAUAUCUCCUGACUUUGCCUGGCUGAAUGCUUUUGUAAUUUUCCAAUUUCGGCUGUUAACAUGGAAACAUGGGCCCUCCGAACCAUCUGUCACAGAGUCGUCGGCCUGGAGACACCCGCCUCCCAUUUUCUUCCCCACUUCCCCUGAAGAGGCAGUGACGGUCAAAUUGGCUCAGCCUUGCCCAGGAGAUUCGAGCGUGCUUUUAUGCUAGCUUUACAUGUAUGAAUUUAUUACUGGGGCAUCUGAUAUUUUUAUUUCUAUUCUGUAUUUUAACACGUAAGGAACUAUCUUAGCACGGUGCAGGCUAGCAAGUUCCAAAAGUCCUAAGAGGCGAGAAAGCUGCUGUUUCACCCAGACAGUGACCCACAGCCAGGUUUCCUGCCUGGGAACCCCAUGCUCCCGGGGCCCGGGUCUCCCUGAGGGCUCUUCUGCUUCCACACAUGGAGGUCCGCCUGUCUGUCCUUAAAGAUGUUCUCCAACAGGAGUGCACAGAGGCGACAGCACACGUACCUCUGCCUCGUAAGUCUUUUAUCAAGCCGUACUCUGAGAUUAUACACUUUAGGGCUUGUUUUGAACCUCUUAAAUGCUCCCGAGAUUACUGCUCAGCGUUAAACGUCUGAAUGCUCUAGGGCCGAGAGCCUGGCAGCCACCUCCCCCAGCCGUGCCUCCCGCUGCCCCAGGGUUCUCCCCAAGGUUGUGGCUAUGAACCCCACUCUGCCUGGCUUGUGUUCACCAGCGCCUUGUCUUCCACGGUGGGUAACGGGAGUCCCCUGUGUCCAGCCCCGUCCCUGGGCUCCAGGGUGUUUGUGUGCUCGACCCUUGCUGUUGAAUGCUAAUUCAUCUCUUCCAUGUCUUUGAUUCCUAUGGUGCAACAGCGAAGGAGAGUGAGGCAUUUCUCCUGGUGUCGCAGCUACUCCUCGUGGUGGCAGUCACGACGGGCCCGACCCAGGGCUUAGCUGUAGCAUCUUCCCGCCUCACGGCAAGGGGCUCAGAGCACCCAAGAGGAGGGACCGACAGCGGGAGAGACCAAGCCAUGCGGUGUUUGUGACAUUGCAGACCAGGCUCUGUCCCUGCAACCUGCCCGGGGACUCUCAAACACCUUUCAGAGAGAAAUUGACCCCAUCUCCUCCGGCCAGCCUGCAGAUUUCAGUUCUCACUGCUGAAGCAAGUCAUGUGGCUUGGAGCACCCACGGGUCCAGUCCCACCUGUGUCCCUUCGGGUGACCUCUUGUCCUCAGGGAGGAGGACUGGCUGAGUGCAUGACAUCGCUGCAUGCACCGCCCUCAUCCACGAAGCCGGGUGCGAGUGGCGGGUGAUGAGCAGCCCGGGACAGGGCACCCGUGUGCUGCAUGGGGUCUGCACCUGACCCUGAGGCGGUGGAGCUGCCCCCGAGCCCAGACCGUGGCUCCGUGCCAUGCUGUGAGGGCACCACGGGGAACACGGCGCUGCGGAGCGGAGGCCAGAGCCCAGCUGGCUGGACCUGGUGCCCUCGGCACCGGCUGCGGGCCCUGAGCUGCUCCCACUUCUGCGCUCAUAGCAUAGCAGGCUCAGGAAGUACCCAAGACCCGGGGUUUGUACACAUGAAGAGGCUCACGGGCGUACUCCAUCUUGGAAUUUACAUUUCAUGAAAGUUGAUGCAUAUUUGAGAACACUGAUGUUAAUUUUGAUAUGAUGAGGCUUCCCUUUGUUUGUUUGUUUUGGUGUUUUGAGACAGGGUCUAACUGUGAAGUUCACUAUGAACGCCACACUAUGUAGCCCAGGGCAGCCUCAAACUCACAGCAAUCUGCCUGUCUCAGCCUCCCAAGUGGUGGGAUUUCGGGCAUGUGCUGCCAUGCCCAGCUAGUGUGGCCCUCCUCUCCCUCUAAGCUAUGCCCCGGAGGAGAUGACUCACACUCAGGGUCAUCUCUCCUUUCUCACAGGCAGCCAGGUGGAAGGGUUUGAAGAACCACCUCCCCCCAUUGCCGCCAGUGCAGCAGGUGCGGGAACAUCGCCUGGAAUUCACGGCCCAAGCCCGAUGCACCCCGGGGUGGAGGCCCAGCUGUGGGCAAUGCGGCCCCCACCCCACCUGCAGACAGGGCCACGAGGCCCUGCCUUGACUGGGGUCCUCAGCUCUGAGAAAGGCCGGGUGCAGCUCUAAGUCUUCCCCUCCCUGUGCAGAGCCUGAGGCUCAGAAAUGGGGCUCCUGGGCUCCCAGACCUCAGUGAGGUCCGGGCCCGAGGUCUGGGUGACACAGGACAGCCAGUGGGCCCUGCGGAGGGAUGCUGCUUCUUGUCUUCCUUCUGAAGUCCUGGGUGGCUCUGGGGUCACUCUCUUCUCUGCAGGGACUGGGGACCCCUAAGUGACAGUGCGGCCAGGGAGUGUGGGUUUAGCAGGUGAUGUGAAUGAUGCCUAAUUCUUGCAUUUCCAGGGACUCAGUGUAGGCUGGGCACUGAAGUGACUGGGAUCCCUUGUGAAGCUGGAAGCACUCUGCCCGGGAGGUGUGUGUUCCCUGUGGACCCGUGCUGUGCCCGGGUGCCACGCACCCCGCUUUAUACACAGACAGCUGACACCCCGAGGGGCGUCACAUGGCAAGGGGUGAGUGGGUUCAAGCCCGAAGCCUGGCCCCGUGGUGCCCACUCCUGACGGCCUCCACGCCCGAUCCAUGGGGAAUGGAGCCACCCUGCCUCUGCCGCUGGAAACAGAACAGCAAGGCGCCAACGAAGGUCAGCAAGCAGCGUCCCGGGUAGGAGCUCUGUUCUGCUCAGCCUCACCCACUUGUUCCACGUGAUCCUUCAAACAUUUCCUAGACAUCGGGGUUUUGGACGCAGCUGCGAGAGUCCAGGCCAGCUGGGAGUCCUCUGAGGGAGGAGACCUUCACUCUCCUGAGGGAGGAGACCUUCACUCUCCUGAGGAGAAUGCAGUCAAGGGCACCCCGGGAGCUCGGGACUCGCUGUGGAGUCCAGGACAGGCGGCAUCAGGAAGGAGAGCAGCAGACCCGGGGCCAGCACAGCCAGAGACGCGUGGAGGGCACAAAGACGGUGCAGCAAGGGCUGUCUCUUCCACAGUGGGACCCCGCACGCAGAGUCGAUCAACUGACAAUCAACUGCUCAGGCUGGGGGCAAACUUCUUGUCCUUAGCCCAAAAAUAACUCGAAAUGAAUCAUGGACCGAAAUGUACAACGUGCAACUCUAAAACUCCUUGAAGGUAACAUGGAAGAAAGUUUGGAGGACCUCAGAUCUGGGGAUGACUGUUAGACACAUCAAAGGCACAAAGCAUCAAAGAAAAACUUGAUGAGCUGGACCUCAUUAAAAUAAAAACUUGCACUCUGCAAAGAGACUGCCCAGAAUAUGAGAAGAUAACCCACAGGUUGGGAGAGGGUAUUUGCAAAUGAUCUGUUUGGUAAAUGGUGCUGUCCAAAAUAUACAAAGAACUCUUAAAAUUCAACAAUAAAAAAUUGAAUAACUCGAUUUAUAAAAGGGCACGGUCCCUGAACAGGAAUCUCCCUGGACAGAGGGAGCGUGGCAGGAGAUGUCCCCUAGGGAACUACACACGCAACAGGGGCCGGCCACUGGUACACACCUGCAGGAGAGGUCCCGACGUCACCAAAUGGAAUGGGGACGGGCAGCAAGGCCCUCCUUGGCCGUCGCUGUAGGUGUGCAGAGCGGCAGAGCUACUUUGGAAGACAUCCGGAGGGAUCUUACAGAGCUAAUAGACUCUUUCCCUGCAGUUCAAUAGUCACGCUCCCAGGCCUUUACCCACAGGAUUUGAAAACUUCUGUCCACAUAAACACCCAUGCCCACAUGUUCGUGGCAGCUUUAUCUGAGACGACUUAAAAGCGGACAUGGUGUCUGUUGGGAGAUGAGAGGCUCUCUGCUCCGAGGGCAUCCAGACAAUCCGUGUUACCAGGCUGAGAGAAGCCAGCUCUAAAGCCAGGGGCAGGCAUCGGAGAAGCUCGUGUGUGCAGCAGGCAGUCAGAGAAACCAAGGGCCCCAAGAGACUGCACUGCAGGAUUCCAGCUCAGGACUCUCCGGGGAGCUGGAAGCUGGGGCGAAGGAAAAGCUGGGUGGGGCCCAAGGGCUGAGCGGGGGGCUCGGGCGCUACUCCGGGGCACUGCAGCGCUGCUGCGUGCAAGGCCUGGUCCACACCCACGGGAUGCCCGGAGCACCCUGCUGUGCACUGGGGCCCUGUGUGGUCACGCGUCCAUCGGUGGGGACCUCACAGUGGAGCAGCGUGAUGCGUGGGGACAGGGCUAUGUCCCACAAGCUCUACUUUCUGCUUCAUUUUGUACUGAACA